rnacentral:lncRNA from 1 species
GUUCUUGAUUUUUCUUGACACGUGUCUUGACAGUAUUCACAUUGUCUUAAAAUUUCUUGACACCUCCUGUAUCAUCUGAUAAGAGUCAUGCUGAGUCUCGGCCAAUUCUUGACUGUCUUAAAUUUGUCUCGAUCUUUCUUGACAUAUUCUUGACAUUCUUAAUAAUGUCUGUAUAUGUCUUGACAUAUUCUUGACAUUCUAAAUAAUGUCUGAAUAUGUCUCUACACAUUCUUGACUAUCUUAAAUAUGUCUUGACACUAUCUCAAUAGUAAAAAUUUCGCCUGAAAUGUGUACAGACUUAUUUUGCACUGUUU